AAGUCGUAACAAGGUUUCCGUAGGUGAACCUGCGGAAGGAUCAUUACAAAUCCGUGAGUGUGGUAUGAGAGAUGUUGAUCCGUGAUGUUGGGAAGAUAUAGUGGUGUGUGGUGUGGUAGAGACGAGAAAGGGUGGAUUCUGUUUGGCAUCCCUCUCAAUCUGUCUAUUAUAUCCCACUAUUAUAUCACCCAAAAACCCUAACCCUAGUGAUGCAUGUUGUCGAAUGAGAUUAUACACACAGAAACAGACACACAACUUAUAACAAUGGAUCUCUAGGCUCUU
rnacentral:misc_RNA from 1 species